rnacentral:siRNA from 1 species
CCACUCGACCAAGCCACUCGGC